rnacentral:tRNA from 1 species
UAGCUCAGUCAGUUGAGCAUGGCGCUAACAAUGCCAAGGUCGCGAGUUCGAUUCCCGU